GCAGGAAGCGGCUUCCCAUUGAAGCGGACGGCGGCCCCUUGACACGCCGAGCGGAAGGCCCGUCUCCGCCUGGCACUUCACAGGAGCUAGGUCGUCCCUGGCGUCGCCAUGCGUCCGGAGAGGGCCCUGGUUUGGUACCGGCGGAUGUCUGUGGUCUACGGUUUGGGCGCCUGGACCCUGCUUGGCUCAUUAUUCCUCUGGAGUCAGAAAAAGAACAAGCUGCCAGGUGGUGAAGUUGAGAAUAUGUCAAAAGUUGAACUAUCUGAGGCCCCGAAAGGGUUUUAUGUGGAAACGGUUGUCACCUAUAAAGAAGAUUUUGUUCCCAUUACUUCAAGGAUUGUCAACUAUUUGAAAUCCUGGACUGGUGGCCCUGGACCCAAAUCAUGAUUGACUGCUGAUUCUGAAAACAAGACUUUAGUUCAGCAUAUAAAUUUGAUGGAUACCUUGAUGCCCAUUUUCUGUUGGUGAAAAGUGUAUAUAUUUAGUUUAAUUUUGCUGUAAAAUAGAAUCACUAAUAAUAUGCAGUAAAUAUUUCCUUGAGGAAAAGUAAAUUUGCAUAUUCAAGUGGUAUCCUAUACUCACAAGCGUGAAAGAUUGAAAUUUCUUAGUUAGGUUCCGUAAGCUCGGCUUUCUAAAAUUCAUUCAUGUAACUUUAUAUUUCUUUCAUGUUGCAAUCAGAAACAGCUUUCGUGGUCCCUUUAAGAUUAGAUUCAGCAGAUCUCCAUGUUCAGUGUGGGACUUAAGAGUGGCCUUUUUGGGGACUAUUGGAUGCUUGCUAAAUAUGUUAUGAAUUAGAUUAUAACACCUGUGCUAAA